rnacentral:rRNA from 1 species
GACGAACGCUGGCGGCGUGCUUAAUACAUGCAAGUCGAACGGAAAGGCCCUGCUUUUGUGGGGUGCUCGAUUGGCGAACGGGUGAGUAACACGUGAGUAACCUGCCCUUGUCUUUGGGAUAACUUUAGGAAACUGGGGCUAAUACCCGAUAGGAUCUCUUGCUCCGUGGUGUGGGUUGGAAAGUUUCGGCGGUUGGGGAUGGUCUCGCGGCUUAUGAGCUUGUUGGUGGGGUAGUUGCUUACCAGGGGUUUGAAGGGUAGCCCGCCUGGGAGGGGGGACGGCGACAUGACGACUGCGAGACGCCGCAGAAGCGAACGGGAGGCAGUAGGGGGAAGUAUGGCACAGUGAGCGGGAGCCUGAGACGAAGACGCCGGGUGCGGAAAGACGUGUUACAGGUGAAAAACCGCUUUGGCAUGUGACGAAGCGUGAGUGACAGUAAUAGGUAAAGAAGCACCGGCUAACUACGUG